CAAACAUGUUUGCUACCAGGUGGUUGGGGGCCGCAUAGAAUGGUAUUGAGGGCCGCAUGUGGCCCCCGGGCCGCAGAUUGUGCACCCCUGCUGAAGAUGAAUGUAUAAAUAAG